rnacentral:rRNA from 1 species
UCGAGGGGUAUAGGUUUUCGGACCUAGAGACCGGCGCACGGGUGCGUAACGCGUAUGCAAUCUACCUUUUACAGAGGGAUAGCCCAGAGAAAUUUGGAUUAAUACCUCAUAGUAUAAUGACUCGGCAUCGAGAUAUUAUUAAAGUCACAACGGUAAAAGAUGAGCAUGCGUCCCAUUAGCUUGUUGGUAAGGUAACGGCUUACCAAGGCAACGAUGGGUAGGGGUCCUGAGAGGGAGAUCCCCCACACUGGUACUGAGACACGGACCAGACUCCUACGGGAGGCAGCAGUGAGGAAUAUUGGUCAAUGGGCGCAAGCCUGAACCAGCCAUGCCGCGUGCAGGAUGAAGCAUCUAUGGUGUGUAAACUGCUUUUGUACGAGAAGAAACACUCCUACGUGUAGGAGCUUGACGGUAUCGUAAGAAUAAGGACCGGCUAACUCCGUGCCAGCAGCCGCGGUAAUACGGAGGGUCCAAGCGUUAUCCGGAAUCAUUGGGUUUAAAGGGUCCGUAGGCGGUUUUGUAAGUCAGUGGUGAAAGCCCAUCGCUCAACGGUGGAACGGCCAUUGAUACUGCAAGACUUGAAUUAUUGGGAAGCAACUAGAAUAUGUAGUGUAGCGGUGAAAUGCUUAGAGAUUACAUGGAAUACCAAUUGCGAAGGCAGGUUGCUACCAAUACAUUGACGCUGAUGGACGAAAGCGUGGGGAGCGAACAGGAUUAGAUACCCUGGUAGUCCACGCCGUANACGAUGGAUACUAGCUGUUCGGANCAAUCUGAGUGGCUAAGCGAAAGUGAUAAGUAUCC